CUCCUGGAAACGGGUGGUAAUGCCGGAUGCUCCAGAUGACCGCAUGGGAUUCUGGGAAAGCUUUUGCGGCAUGGGAUGGGGUCGCGUCCUAUCAGCUUGUUGGUGGGGUGAUGGCCCACCAAGGCUUCGACGGGUAGCCGGCCUGAGAGGGCGACCGGCCACAUUGGGACUGAGAUACGGCCCAGACUCCUACGGGAGGCAGCAGUGGGGAAUAUUGCGCAAUGGGCGAAAGCCUGACGCAGCGACGCCGCGUGCGGGAUGGAGGCCUUCGGGUUGUAAACCGCUUUUAUCGGGGAGCAAGCGAGAGUGAGUGUACCCGUUGAAUAAGCACCGGCUAACUACGUGCCAGCAGCCGCGGUAAUACGUAGGGUGCAAGCGUUAUCCGGAUUUAUUGGGCGUAAAGGGCUCGUAGGCGGUUCGUCGCGUCCGGUGUGAAAGUCCAUCGCUUAACGGUGGAUCCGCGCCGGGUACGGGCGGGCUUGAGUGCGGUAGGGGAGACUGGAAUUCCCGGUGUAACGGUGGAAUGUGUAGAUAUCGGGAAGAACACC
rnacentral:rRNA from 1 species